AUAGAAGCACAGUUUGGUCAGAGAGAAAAUGUCGACACAUUGUAACCUUGAGGUAGUGUCCUUCUCUCUCCCUCCUCACAAUCAAUACACACACUAUGGCUUUUGCGACUUGGGCCCACUGUACACUUUUUUCCUUAGCGUAAAAUGUGUAUUCCACACAGUGUUAUGGUGGAAUGAUCAAUACACUACUGUCAAUUUUAAUCAAUCCCUAACCGUAUUGGCCAGUCCUGACUGCCCUAACAGACAGCUGCCACAGAUUUUUUUUGGCUGAAAACGUGGAUCCUGACACAGAUUCCACCGAGCCAGACAAGCAUCAAAAGAUUUCCUACAUCAAUAAGUUUUACCACGAGACACAAUAAUCCUCAGUAUGCGUUGUAGUCAGAGAAUGACACAACACCGUUUAUGUCAUCUGAAUACAGAUCCUCACAGAAUUUAUCAAUACAACUUGAUCAACUGUAAAACCAUCCCAAUGAUGUAUUCUGAUGGAUGGUGAAUUUGGAGUGAAAUCCUUUCAAAGAACUUGACACAGGUGAUCAGGUAACCUCUCAGGUGUGUGAUUUUUACCUGUGUUAAUACACAUUCACGCUCAGGGGGUCUGCCAGGAAUAACCAUCAAUUAUGCAACAUAAUCAAUGAAGGAAAUCUCCUAUUACUACGUACUGCAUCCCCAGCCUCCUCUUAGUCCACUGCCUCUCACCGAACCAACAAACCUCACAUCCAAAUAUGUGGGGGAUCUAAAAACUUACCGAAAUUGGGAGUGGGAAUCACCAUGCUCAAUAUGAAUCACCUGAUAAACUUUUUAUUUCUUUUCAGUUAAAAGUACAAAUUUUAAAAAUUACUUUAUUCAUAUACUGACAACUGUUUAAAUUUCCUUUAACAAUUCCAAUGAUUCUAAAUUCAAAUGAAUAAAUGAGAAUAUAAAGCUGAUUUAAAGCUGUAUCUAUUGACAUGAUUGAUUCAUAGGAGAGCAUGACCAGACUUAAUCUUAAUACUUCCCCCAAAACACACUACAAACACCAAAAUAUCAAGUGACAAAGUACAUUGAUCUAAAUAUAAGUAGUAUAUAUCCACUGACUAACCAUUCGGGCAGUAACCCAACUCUUACAAACCAAAAAUAAUAAACUUCAGCCACAGCUGAUAAACAUGUAAUCUAUUAUCAAUUCAUCGUUUUGUGGGCAACUACCUAAUUGAAAUGCAGACAUACCGGUAGCUCCCCCACAGUAUUGAAUACUUUUCUAUCAUUACACAAUUGAGAAUCACCAACAUGCACAGAAUGCAAAAAACUCCCUACCUCACAAUAUGUUAAUUAAUUCAUCCAUUUUAUUGUCCAAAUAAAAGAAAUUGAGAUAGAUUCGGAAUUGUAAAAUCUCCAAAUCAAAAAAAGAAUAAAAAUAUCUUUUUUUCACAUGAAAUACUAUGAAGGAAAAGAGGUAAAAAUCCUAUAUGUGGAUGGCAUAUGUACACAUGAGAAUGCUGCUAGCACAAAGAGAGAUAGACGGUGUGCGCGUAGAGCAUGCGUGUUUAUACAUAUGUAGCGUACAGAUGAGGGAGCAAGGAAGCGCGUGGUAGCAUCUUCAUGUUCCUGUUCAACGUGUAUCUGGCAGCCAUCCCUCACUUUAUGUAAAUAAACCAACAAGAUCGCUCAUUAAUAUCAUAAUGGUGAAAAGGUAUGAAAGUUAUUCUCUAUUGCCAUGACAACAGAAUAUGCUCUUCUGGCUGUCUCUUGCUUGUGGGAGAAUUCAUGGUGGUAUUGUGUGAGCAGAGUUUCUUCAUUUGGUGAUUCUCUGUCACAUCAGGUGAAGUAACAAAAAAUGUAAUGCUUCAUUGUCAGAUUAGAUGGAAUAUUAUUAUAAAUCUUAAACUGCUAUAUUAAAAAGAGGGUAGGAGUUUCUGGGAAUAAUCACAACCUUUGCUUAGCCAUUUUUUGUGCAUAGUAUAAACUGAUAUCAAGUUGAAGUCUCUUUUUUAAUAAUAGAGAGAACAAUGUAAAUAAAUUGACCUUGACAAUUCUUAAUACACAGGCAAAUUCCAAAUCCAGGCUAUUUAAAUUAAUGCACCUUUGAUUGACAUGUAUUUACUAAAGAAAUACCUAUUAAGUGUGAAAUCAAGUCAAAUCUAAAAAGAGCAUUUUUUAUCAGCAUUUGAUAAAUAUUAACCUCUGCUCCGAUAGACAUCAUUAUAAAAAUACAUUAAUCUGACGUCGACACAAAUCGAAGAUGUUAGUCAGUAUUUAAAUCGUCUUUUUACGUCACACUCUAAAUCAAAUAAUGAGUCACAUGCAUUUCUUGUAGUCUCUAUCAAACAUGACUAAUUUGUAACUGGUGACUCCCCCUUCUUACUUUUCAGUAACAUUGAUUUCCGAGCGUCCAGAUUUGAUACAAAUAAUGGCUUCAGUUCAAGUAGUGGAGAAAACCGUUUCACCAAAUAAUCAAUGCUUUUAUCUCCAAACCAUUUAGCCAAACAAAGCUCAUUUAGUACAUAGUAAACAAUCUUGUAUAUUUCUAGAUUUUAUAUAACAUUUAAAAGUACUUCACUGUAUACAGGAAAUGAAUCAAUUCACUGACUCUAAUAUCCCAUGGAUGCCUCAGGGCUUAGCAUAGGCUAAAGUCAUCAACUCUUGAAAAACAAUACCCACAAAUUAGCCAGUGACAUGAAAAUGGUCAUCAGCAUGCAAAGGUUUAAAGUACUUACAGGUAUCUUACUUAUAUUUCAUACCAUAUCAAUAUACUAUCUAAAUAAUGGAAAAAGCAACAUCCGCAACCCUACUACAGCAUACCAAUUACUCCAGAGGAGCAUGUCCAUGUAGCCUUGUUCAUAAGAGAGAAGUUUACAGAGUACAUGUAGCAGUUUGAUGUUUUUGCAACAUGUGCACACAAUAUAACAACAUGGAACAGAAGGGGUUAACCAGUCACCAAUCAAUACCCACUCAGUUUUUUCCUUUCUCAAAUAACAACAUCACAGCAAAUUUUACAUAAAUCCAAACUUUUGUAACAAUAUGACUUAGAGAAGAGUUUUUUUUCUCCUCCAUUGAAGUUGGAUAUUGAUAUUGUCAAACCAAGGUGAAAACCAGAGUGUUCAAAGCAAGAACAAGAGAGGGCAAAUCAUCACAAGGCAAGGACAAAAAAAAGAGGCAAUAAAUGAAGCAUUUCCUGGAACUGAAUGCAGUACGCUGAAGAUGGACAGAAGACCUGUCAAUCAAUGAUUUCCAUUUUAUCUACUAUGGCAACUGCAUUUACAUCAAAAUCACGGAAAAGCAAUAAUGAAAACGUGUGAUGAGAAAUCAAUAGACAUGAUGAAACAAUCCAGAAGCCAGCUAUUCAGUUCAGUGGAUGACAACAUUAUCUCCAGUCUUGGGCCUGCAAUAUGCUCACUGAAAGCUGAUGUCUAUUAUCAAAUUUCUUCUUGCGCUUUGCAAUCUUGUGCAACAAACUUGUAAUUAAAAGAAGGGAAUUUGUAUCUUUGUUUCAGUAUCUCAAUUAAAUUUUAACUAAGCACAUCAAAGACGUUUAUUAUAGACAUUCUGUUCUAUUAAAUAAAUAUUUUGAUUCCAUUCGGUUGUUUCGUCUUUAAUUACUACACAAUUGUAACAUAAUACCAGCCAGGGCCUGGCUGAAAGGUAUCAAUAUAGGAUAGAAAUGUUUUCCAGUGAUGAGCCUUACCUCAAAAAACUGUAUCACUAGAAACUACGAAGAAAACAAGACAAAUAACUCAUGGCCUAUUUCACACAUCCACUGGAUAGCAAUACCCUUGAAUGCUUAUUCUGUAGUUGAACAAAUAAUUGGCAAUCCAUCAUUGCGAAAGAAUUUUACAAUCCUAAUUUCAAUUUUUUGUCCUAAAAAUAUUUUGCAAUCAAGACAUAUAAUCAUACACAGCGUACAGAUUACCAAAUAUAGCUGAUACAGCGAGUAAUAUUUCAAGGUCUACAGUACGUCCGACUAUUGAUCAUCUUCUCUCUGUCAUUCAGAUCACUUCUAGAUUUCAAUACAUCACACGUUGCAUAUUACUCAAAACACAUACCUACAAUGAUCUUCAGAUUUUUCAGAUUAUCAAGGUACAUUCGUCUAUCGUAUAUGCAUAUAUACCAAAAAUAGAUUUACAAGUAUCACAUUUAUCAUGAUACAUAUCUCAACAGAAAAGGAAGAGGGAUAGGAUAAGAUAUUGUGUGUAAAGUAUAUAGGGAAUGUGUAAAAUAUUUCCUUGGGCUUAAUCAAUAACUCUUAUCACCUCUUAGAAACGUAAUAUAUAUUUGACCAAUUACAAAUCAUUUUAUUUUAAACACAAAAACGUUUAUGCUUUGACAAAUUGACCAGUAACAGAGUAUAAAAAUGCGUGUAUAUAUCAACAAUAAAACAUUAACCUUGAAUUCAGGUCACCUAAAGUCGCAGUUUAUUUUUAUAUAAACAAAUCCUUUCAUGUAUAAAUGUUGUUUACAACCUCAUAGGAAACAAGUAUGUUGCUAUUUUAUUCGAACGAAGGGAAAAAAAUUAGUACCGGUACUUAAAACAAUUACAAACAAAUGCUCUUGAAUUUGAGGUUAUAAAUAGUCAUUACAUAGGCUCAAAGCAUAAAAAUACUAUUAAAAUUCAACUUGUACCAAAGUGGGCUGGGCUACAUCGAACCCUAAACACCGUUCAAACAAACACUUUAAAAUUCCAGACCCCAUGCUAUCUCUCUUGUGAGGGAGGCAUACGGUCCAGUGACUUUAAAUACACUACUGCCUCUAUGAAUGGAAAGCUAUUUCUGUUUGAAUGCCUAUACUAUAUAUAUCCAUUGCGACAAUAUGAUUAAAACCUAUGUACAGACCCAGGCAAGUCUGAACAAUGGCUGCAAAGUUAAUUACAUUACACCUAUCACAGGUCUUAAAAUUGAUUAUUUUUUUCUAAAUUGCAUUAAUUCAAGCAUUUUAAAAUUCCAAUUCUUUUCUAUUAUAACUGGGUUUUACAGCAGACUCAAUUUAUUGCAGGCUGCAGGAAGUACUAUAUAUCUUCUUGAUUUCUGGGUGUACAUUACAUCAAGAAAAAGUAAAUCAGUGCAAUGACAGUUUACUUUGAUAAUGAGCUUAUGACGGUAUUUAUAUAUUUAACCUUAUCAAUGACAUACUUAGUUAGAUAAUCUUAAUCUGUUUUAUCUUUCAAACUAAACAAAUUAGUUUAAAAGUUCAGCACGAAUCAGAUGAACAUUAAUUCGUACAUGUUCAAAUUCAACAAAACUACCGAUAAAAGCAAGACCACAGGAAAAAGAUUAUUCGCCCUUAGUAAUGCAGUAUUAUGAGAAAACAGAACACAUUAGUAAAAAGGAUAAAUUUGAAUACUGGGGACAACAAAUAGCUUGCUAUAAAUAUUUUUUAGGUGAGGUAAUGAAACAAACUUCUAUUUAGCCACCUAUCCCCCUCUUAGAUUAAAUAUAUUAUUUGUGAAGACCUCACUCAAAUACAUCUACAAAAGAGACUGCCUCGAAAAACAUCCUUGACAAUACUAAUGUAGUACCCAUUCCAGCUGAAGUUACUGUGCAGACAAACGUACUUUAAUAUCAGCCCAAUUAUGAGAUUACAACAAAAACAGGCACAUAAUAUAGCAUGUAGGAUGCUCCUCUCUUCUAUACAUACAUGUGUAUCUAGACGUUCAUUAAUCUAACAAUGCAGAUGUUAUAUAGAGUCACCACACCUUACAUUGUCAAUACAGCAUAUAUCAAUAGCAAUGGCCAUGCAAACUCUAUUAGUCACACAGAGUGAAGAACUGGUAAAAUACACCAAAUGCACUUUCCUAACACAUAUGACCAAUGAAAGAAUUAAAAAAGCCAAGAUUUGAACCAAUCAAGUCAAGCGACUUAUCAAUAUGCCAAUACUGGAGCUCAAUUUACUCUGCUUUUUUUUUUCAUCCUUACACCAUCCUCUGACUUGAAUCGGUACAUGAUUUAUCAAUUAACCUUCAAUAUAGAUCUUCGUUAGCACAUGUUAAA